AGUGAACGCUGGCGGUAGGCCUAACACAUGCAAGUCGAACGGCAGCACAGUAAGAGCUUGCUCUUACGGGUGGCGAGUGGCGGACGGGUGAGGAAUACAUCGGAAUCUACCUUUUCGUGGGGGAUAACGUAGGGAAACUUACGCUAAUACCGCAUACGACCUACGGGUGAAAGCAGGGGAUCUUCGGACCUUGCGCGAUUGAAUGAGCCGAUGUCGGAUUAGCUAGUUGGCGGGGUAAAGGCCCACCAAGGCGACGAUCCGUAGCUGGUCUGAGAGGAUGAUCAGCCACACUGGAACUGAGACACGGUCCAGACUCCUACGGGAGGCAGCAGUGGGGAAUAUUGGACAAUGGGCGUAAGCCUGAUUCAGCCAUACCGCGUGGGUGAAGAAGGCCUUCGGGUUGUAAAGCCCUUUUGUUGGGAAAGAAAAGCAGCAGGUUAAUACCCCGCUGUUCUGACGGUACCCAAAGAAUAAGCACCGGCUAACUUCGUG
rnacentral:rRNA from 1 species